UAGGGAAUCUUGGACAAUGGGCGAAAGCCUGAUCCAGCCAUGCCGCGUGGAUGAUGAAGGCCUUAGGGUUGUAAAAUCCUUUCGUCGGGGACGAUAAUGACGGUACCCGAAGAAGAAGCUCCGGCUAACUUCGUGCCAGCAGCCGCGGUAAUACGAAGGGGGCUAGCGUUGUUCGGAAUUACUGGGCGUAAAGCGCGUGUAGGCGGGCCGUUAAGUCGGGGGUGAAAGCCCAGAGCUCAACUCUGGAAUUGCCUUCGAUACUGGCGGCCUGGAGCAUGUUAGAGGCGAGUGGAAUUGCGAGUGUAGAGGUGAAAUUCGUAGAUAUUCGCAGGAACACCAGUGGCGAAGGCGACUCGCUGGGACAUUGCUGACGCUGAGACGCGAAAGCGUGGGGAGCAAACAGGAUUAGAUACCCCCGUAGUCC
rnacentral:rRNA from 1 species